GGUGCCAAUCUUUACCAUGCGAUCCGGAUAAUCUUUUGAGAUAGAGACCUUCUCCAACUCUUCAGCGAGUUGUGCUUGCUGGGUGAAAGAGUCAUCUCGGAAGGGAUACCCAUAGCAACAUUCACUUUUUUCAUGUUUGGAAAAGCCUUAGGAGUGGAGCCAAAUUCUGAAUCUACAAAAACAGCGGAAGACAAUCAGAAAAUUGAAUAGUAGCUUGGCACUAAAGCAAAGCAACCGAGAAGAUUAAGCAGCUUGCUUACCAGAUACGAAGACCAUUGGUACACGUAGCUCGAGGGAAGAAUCAGACUCUCAUUCUCCACUUAUCUCCAAAGUCUCUUUGGCCCAAUCAUGAUCUCCCUUGCUCGAAUUAUCAAAAAGCCUAUGGCGAGAUCAUAGCUGCCCAACUCCAUCUAUGUGAUCUAUGUCAAAGAAGUACCAAAAUUCAUUGACGGUUAGAUCUAAGUCAAAGAAUUGGCUUAGAUUGUGGAAUCCCACCAUCACACGGACCGCGUUCGGAGAACAUUGGGCGGUGGCAUAUCUUAUGGAGCGUAGCACUUCUUGGAAGAAAUGCGGCAUAAGAAAAGUAAACCCUAACACAAAAUAGUAGGGGUGAAACUUAAUGGCUCUCCGAGUUCCACUACAUGGUUCCCGGCUGCGACCAUUCUUAACUCGCUUCACAUGCACUCCCGACGGAAUGGCAUGCCAAUACGCCUCAAGAAAGUCUCUAAAUAAAUCAUCGGAGCUAAUCUUGAAGUGAGCAGCUUUGAAGUAGCCCACUUUGUUCAAAGACCCACCUUGACGAUACAAUGGCGGCACACCAUCAUCAUUCUUGUGACUCGAGGAAGACAUACUUAAAGGAAUUCAACAAAAAGUACAAGGAAGAUUCAUUAGAGGGUUGUUCAAAAAAAAAAGGAGCAUAUCUCGGCAAAAACAAAAUGGGGAACCAAGCUGCAGAAGCCCAGCAAAACUGCCAGGCCCCACGACCUGGCUUCUCACGCCAGCGCCCAAAGAUAUAUGAAGGUGCACACGACACAACCUUGUCGUGGCCUCCCAAGCCACUCUUUCACAAAUCCUCGACUUCCGUCAGGCCAAAUUUCAAGCCCCGAGGCUUCCAAAAAAUUAUGAAGACAAGGAAAUUAAAUUUUUCUUACCUAGAAGCAACGUGAAGACGAAGCAAGCAACGUGAAGACGAAGCAAGCAACGAAAGACGAUCAUUUGCACCGGCAAGAUGUAGAAGAUUGUUAGAGAAGGGGGAACAAAUAUCCUCUAAGCUCUCUCUCUCUCUCUUGUAGGGUAAAAUAAAUUGCUCUCCAAAGUUGAUUUCCAUUUAAGAUGGACUUAAAUAAGCUUUGAGAAAAAAUUAUUUCCUUUUCCUAGAAGGAUCUAAUUUCCUAUUAAAAGAGAGAAUAAUCAUCAAAAUAGGAAACAAUUCAAAGUUUCCUAAGGCAAGAAAAUCUCUACACCUGUUGCCCUUUUCUGCGAGUAGCCGAACAGGUGUAGGGGCAUUUGUGGAGCCAAAAAUAAUCACAAGGCAACACGUGAAUUCCUAGACAAGAGAGGACAAAAAUACCCUUGAGGUACAACGAGAUUCCUACGCGCGAGCAGCGGGCAAUCAUCCUUCAAUCAAGUCAAAAAUGCCCAAAAAAAGGUAACAAUUCAAAAUUCAUCUCAUCAAAUCCCUUUUACAAGGUAAUUCCCAAAACAUAUCUCAUUCCAAAUAUUUUUACCUUUUUCCCCUCUCUUUUAGCUAAACAAUUAAGCUAUCAUUACAUAACCUCCCAAAAAACAUUCCUUUUAUUAUGUUAAUUAGCCAAUUAAUAUAUUUAUUCCUAAUUAAUAUAUUAAUUGCUAAUUAAAUCACCAAAUAACACCCAAAAUAUAUAUAAAGGGCCGGCCACUCUUUCUCCAAAGAGGAUCGGCCAUGCCCUAUAAAUAUUACCCACUUUUCUAUAAAAACCUAGGUUCACACUCUUGCAAAAUUCCAAAAACUCUCUAAACAUUUUUCUCUCUAAAUUCUAACUUUGGCAUCGGAGGUUCUUCGGCCAAAGCCCCCCUCCCAAUUCAUCGUGGGCACGUGAGGCUCUUGGCCUUGACCCUAAGGUGUUAAUUGUUUUGUAAGUGUAAUUUUGUCCAAGAUCAAGGAGGAAGAAAUUUGUAUCCACAUUGGUUAAAAGGUCUUUUUUGUUAUGAUCACUGUUAUUGUUAGUCACAAUGACCAUCUGCAAAGUUGUAAGCUUUCAGUAUGUUGUUACGUGCUUGCUGCUAUGGUCAACAUUGUAUACCUCUGCAUUUUGUUCAUUGGAAAUGCUGGUGUUGGUUUGACCUUUUAUCGUUACCCUCACCAUUCAUAUUAUUGCAAUGUACUAUAUUAUUUUCAGUUUUUAGAACACCAAGUUUACAUAUGCAACAAAACUACAAAGAAAAAGAAUUUCUUAUAUGUAUAUAUUAUAAUAUUAUAGUUGUAGUGGUUACCUAAUUGCCCCCUAAAUUUCUGAUAGAGCGUCCAUAACCUUCGGUAGUUGAUCCCCAUCACCUGAAGUAAAUGUAUUGAGAAACUUGAUGUAUUGGUAUAGAAAUAGGAUGAUGUUUCUUUGACCUAGUAACAUCAAAUUUAGUGAACUUAAUAUUUAUGCAGAUAGAUUGGAUAUUAGUCUAUUAUCUUUAGUAAUUGCUUGAGUUUUAACAUUAAUAAUCUGUACUGCAGAAAAUGCUAGAGAACUUUUUAAGUAGGAAAUGUGUGAAAGUGAAUAUCAGUCUUUUGGUCUUAAGUAAAUGUAGCUUUUAGCUUUCUAUUAAUUUCGAUGUUUCUGUUUACAUUGUUCUAGCACGUGUCUGAGGGAUGUCAAACAAGGACUUUGAAAAUGACCUUGAUGAUAAAGCUAAUUGGCCAAAACCUAUUGAAAACUACUUUAUUAGUAUGUUGUAGGAAAAGACAAAAAAAGGCUUGCAAACCAACACUUUAGAAAAAAAUCAGUGGGAUGCUAUUGGCAUGAAGUUGUUUGACAAAUAUGGUAAGAGAUACACUCGUGAAAAAUCGAAGCAAAAAUAUAAUCGGUUGCGGAAGAUUCACCGUGAGUUUCCCAAGCUUGUUAAUCAUACUGGGAUGGGUUGGGAACCUGUUGCAAACACUAUUCAAGCAUCAGACGAAGUUUGGGCAACUUAUAUUAAGGUAUUUAUUGUAUUAUAUAAUGGUUAGUAAGAUGACUAUGGAUAUGCUUUUGCGUUUGGUAUUAAGAUAUUUUGCUUUAUGAUGAACUAUAAUUAAAUGAGUAUGGAAAUUACUAGUUUUGGUAAUAUGAUUAAUGUUAUGUUAUUAUCCUAUAGUAUUGUCUUGUCACUUUGUUUAGCUAUUAAUUACUUGAUAGUUGUAUAAUAUAAUUAUUUGUAUGUCUAUAUAGAAUGGAUUCAAAUGAAGUGGACAAUAAUGGUUCAAGUUCAGAAAGUGAUUCAUCCUCUGAUUUGGAUGAUUCACUUGGAGAGUUGCUUUUAGUUACAAGACUAUAUGACCAUUUCUCACGUUUAAAUAAAAAGUCAUGCAUGACUUCACAUUUUUCAGGCCGCCAAUAUGUGAUGGACUUAUUGAAUGGACAUCCACAUAGGUUAUUUGAUAUUGUAAGGAUGGAUAAAAACACGUUCAAGAAUUUAUGCUCGACAUUGAGAGAAUUGAACUUUCUACAAAAUGAUAGAUCAGUUUGUGUGGAGGAGGCCGUAUGCAUGUUUUUGUUUACUAUCAGUUAUACAAUCAGCAACAGGGUAAUUGCUGAAACUUUUCAACAUUCUAAAGAGACUGUGUUAAGACAAUUUAACCGAGUUCUCAAAGCAAUAUGUCGACUUGGUACUUGUAUAAUUCAACCUCCAAAUAUGGAUGUGACACCUUCUGAGAUUUUGGGAAUCCGAAGUACGACUCAUGGUUUCAGAAUUGCAUUGGCGCUAUUGAUGGAACACAUAUCACUGCAUGGGCUCCUUCAUCAAAACAAAUUUCAUACCGAGGUAGAAAAGUUAGUGUAUAUUAUGUUGGCAUGUUCAUUUAACAUGAUGUUCACAUAUGUCUACACCGGAUGGGAAGGAAUAGCUAAUGACUCAAGAGUGUUGAUGGAUGCAAUAACAAGAGAAUAGAAUAGGUUUCCAAUGCCUAAAGAAUGAAAAUAUUAUGUUGUUGAUUCCGGUUAUGCCAACAUGAGUGGGUUUCUUGCACCAUAUCGCAAAGUGCGUUAUCACUUGUGUGAUUUUAGAGGAAGAGGUAAACGUCCAAGAGGAGCAAUGGAAUUGUUCAACUUUAGGUACUCAUCACUACGUAAUGUUGUUGAACGAAGCAUUGAAGUGCUUAAGAAUCGUUUUCCUAUUCUAAAGUUGAUACCAAAUUAUCCAAUUAGGAAGCAAAGACGCAUUCUCGUUGCAUGUUGUGCCGUGCACAAUUUCAUUAGAAUGCAAUCAAGGAAUGAUGCUUUGUUUCAACAAUUUAAAGGCAAUGACGUUGAUGUGGUAGAUGAAGAAAGCUCGGGGGCGAAUCAAGAAGGGGAAAACAUGCAUUUGAAUGACAACAAUGUUAUGAAUGAUGUUAGAGACCACAUAGCCGGAUCAAUGUGGCUUGAUUACGUCAAUAACAAUUAGUCUCAAAGUUUAUUGGUUUUCUUGAAUGUUUUAAUGUAAUAUUUAUUAUCUAAGACUUGAAGUUUAUUUUGAUUAUCGAGCAUAUAUGUGUUGUAUUAGCACAUGGAUAUAAAAAUAAUAUGUUUAAGGUUUAAUUUCA